AUGUUCCUGCCUUCCUAAUUAGCAUGAAUUAAAGCCCCCAUAGGUCUAGGCUGUGUGGAUGAGAAGUGUUGUAUACUCCCUCUUUAAGAGGCAAGCCCAGGAGACCUCAGGGGGAGACUGAUCAUGUGAGAGAACUAGAGGAAACUGUUUCACUUUUGUAGUAGAGGUCUGUGUGCAUGGUUGAGCCUGUAGUAUGAUCUCCUCAGGGCCCAAACAGUCCUAGGCCCAGAGGGACCAGUAACCAGAGACUCUCCCGACUCCUCAGUGAAAUUAUACUUAUUUCUCCAAUCCAUGGUGGACUGCCAGGUAUAGAGGAUUAGAUUAAAAGAUGGCCGAAUGGUGAUUGGCUGAGGAGUGACCUAGCAGGGCAGGCUGUGAAAAAGAUGACACUCAGUGGACCCUGCCUUUGGAGAUCUGCAUGAUCCAAAGCUGACUAGUUUGGACAUUUCAGGUCAUUUAUAGGUACCCCAUCCCACUGCCUGCACACAUGUCCUCUCCUUUUUCUGCUUCCUUCUUCAAGAUGGGAUAUGGUGAAAAGCAAGACUGAAAGCUGUGCUUAGGAUCUUCUGAGAAAUGACUGAGAAACAGGAGUUUGAAAAUCAACCAUUAAGAAGCUUGUUGGCAACCUAUAUUUGGCCAAAGAUCUGAAAGGAAAAAUCCUAAAGGAGGAACCACCCCUGAAGCUUCCCCAGUGUAACUCAAUGGAAUGGAAUGUCUGUGGAAUCAGAGGGCAGUUAACAGAUGGAUGAAGCUAAUGGAACUCAGUGGCCAGGAGGCGGGGAAGGAGGGCUUGAACAAGAAGAGCAGGACAUUUCUCAGCUUGAAGAAUACUCCCUCAAGACAGUCACAAUUCCUCCUGUUUCUGAGGCGGAAGAAGGUGCCUAAAACUUUCACCAUGCUCACACGCAGACUUAGGUGUGAGGAGCCUGAUCCAGACUGGGACCACAACAUGGAGGUACAAGCCUGGCAGGUGAGUUUCUAAGGGACAUGAGAAAGGUGGAACAUCCAAUUUUGUUGAAGAUUCACAGGAAGGCUAAAGUCAACCACUCCAUUGAAGCUGUGACAUGACUUUUUAUUUUAAGGUCAUACCUCAUAAUACAUGUGAAGUGCUUUGAAUAAUCUCAAGUGCAAAGUAUUAUUCCAGCAGCUGGGACAUUUAGAAUCAAUAUACUAUCCAUCCAUCCAGUGAACAGAGCAGAGCUGAUCUGUUGACUAUUCCAUUCCAUCUGAGGACCCCAGUGCCACCCAGUUUAGAACAGCACAAUGCUCUGCUGUCACAUUGUGUGCUGUGUUACCCAAUGCCACAGACACUAAGUGCAGGCUGUCAUACAAUUUCAUCUACCAUCAUGCUUUUCUUCUCACAUGGUUGCAUUGCACAGGCCUACAGUAUACUCCCAGGUUAGUAUCAGUAUCAUUCUUUGUUGAAUUGUGUGAUUUUAAUGUCCUGGUGUGUCAUGCAGUCUUGUGUGUAUAUUAUUCUGUCGCAGGCAUUGCAUAGCAUUGUCAUUCUGCAUUGCAUGAUGUUAUGUAGCCCAGACAAUGGCAUCUUAGAGUGAAAACAGAUACAACAUUGUUAGUGUAUCUGUGGGGAUGGUCUGGGAGCACUGUCAUUGUGUUCAUUCCAAAUGUACCUCUUUCUCCCCUGGAUCAAGCUCUGGAGAAACCUGCUUUUAAUUGAAUCAGUUUGUAUGGGGUGAGGGAGUUGCUGUGGAUGGCACUGAUUGGCAAGUAUCUAUGAUGCCACCUCCCACCAAUUUAACAACUAUUUGUAAAAAAAUAAAAAUG